rnacentral:rRNA from 1 species
AUUGAACGCUGGCGGCAGGCCUAACACAUGCAAGUCGAGCGGAUGAAGGAAGGUUGCUCCUGGAUUCAGCGGCGGACGGGGGAGUAAUGCCUAGGAAUCUGCCUGGUAGUGGGGGAUAACGUCAGGAAACGGGCGCUAAUACCGCAUACGUCCUGAGGGAGAAAGUGGGGGAUCUUCGGACCUCACGCUAUCAGAUGAGGAUAGGUCGGAUUAGCUAGUUGGUGGGGUAAAGGCCUACCAAGGCGACGAUCCGUAACUGGUCUGAGAGGAUGAUCAGUCACACUGGAACUGAGACACUGUCCAGACUCCUACGGGAUGCAUCAGUGUAGCAUCUUGCACAAUGGUCUAAAGCCUCAUCCACCCAUGCCUCGUGUGUGAAGAAGGUCUUCUGAUUGUAAAGCACUUUAAGUUGGGAGUAAAUGCACUAAGUUAAUACCUUGCUGUUUUAACGUUACCAACACAAUAAGCACCGGCUAACUUCGUG